rnacentral:rRNA from 1 species
AGAGUUUGAUCCUGGCUCAGAUUGAACGCUGGCGGCAGGCCUAACACAUGCAAGUCGAGCGGUAACAGGGGAAGCUUGCUUCUCGCUGACGAGCGGCGGACGGGUGAGUAAUGUAUGGGGAUCUGCCCGAUAGAGGGGGAUAACUACUGGAAACGGUAGCUAAUACCGCAUAAUCUCUAAGGAGCAAAGCGGGGGAUCUUCGGCCCUCGCGCUCAAGGGGCGGCCGAUGGCAGAUUAGCUAGUUGGUGAGGUAAUGGCUCACCAAGGCGACGAUCCCUAGCUGGUCUGAGAGGAUGAUCAGCCACACUGGGACUGAGACACGGCCCAGACUCCUACGGGAGGCAGCAGUGGGGAAUAUUGCACAAUGGGCGCAAGCCUGAUGCAGCCAUGCCGCGUGUAUGAAGAAGGCCUUAGGGUUGUAAAGUACUUUCAGUUGGGAGGAAGGCGUUGAUGCUAAUAGCAUCAGCGAUUGACGUUACCAACAGAAGAAGCACCGGCUAACUCCGUGCCAGCCGCCGCGGUAAUUC